CACGUAGGGCGCAAGCGUUGUCCGGAAUUACUGGGCGUAAAGGGCGCGUAGGCGGCACGACAAGUCGGGAGUGAAAGCCCGGGGCUCAACCCCCGGAGGGUCUCUCGAAACUGUCGAGCUAGAGUGCGGAAGAGGCAAUCGGAAUUCCCAGUGUAGCGGUGAAAUGCGUAGAUAUCGGUAGGAACACCAGUGGCGAAGGCGGUCUCCUGGGGCAUUCUUGACGCUGAGGCGCGAAAGCUGGGGGGAGCGAACAGG
rnacentral:rRNA from 1 species